rnacentral:rRNA from 1 species
GUGAGGAAUAUUGGACAAUGGGCGCAAGCCUGAUCCAGCCAUGCCGCGUGCAGGAAGACGCAUCUAUGGUGUGUAAACUGCUUUUGUACGGGAAGAAACACUCCCUCGUGAGGGAGCUUGACGGUACCGUAAGAAUAAGGAUCGGCUAACUCCGUGCCAGCAGCCGCGGUAAUACGGAGGAUCCAAGCGUUAUCCGGAAUCAUUGGGUUUAAAGGGUCCGUAGGCGGUUUAAUAAGUCAGUGGUGAAAGCCCAUCGCUCAACGAUGGAACAGCCAUUGAUACUGUUAGACUUGAAUUACAAGGAAGUAACUAGAAUAUGUAGUGUAGCGGUGAAAUGCUUAGAUAUUACAUGGAAUACCAAUUGCGAAGGCAGGUUACUACUUGUGGAUUGACGCUGAUGGACGAAAGCGUGGGGAGCGAACAGGAUUAGAUACCCGGGUAGUCC